rnacentral:rRNA from 1 species
UGAAUACGAGAUGCUACGGCGUCGAAGCAGUCUAUGUCAUACUUCCAAGAAAAGCUUGCACUGUCAUAAACAAAUAAUGCCUGUACCAUAACCGACACAGGUGGGUAGGUAGAGUAUACUAAGGGGCGCGAGAUAACUCUCUCUAAGGAACUCGGCAAAAUGACUCCGUAACUUCGGGAGAAGGAGUGCCUUAUUUAUAAGGUUGCAAUAACAAGAUCCAAGCAACUGUUUACCAAAAACACAGGUCUCCGCUAAGUCGUAAGACGAUGUAUGGGGGCUGACGCCUGCCCAGUGCCAGAAGGUUAAAGAAGUUGGUUAGCAUCCGCGAAGCUGAUAACUGAAGCCCUGGUGAACGGCGGCCGUAACAAUAACGGUCCUAAGGUAGCGAAAUUCCUUGUCGGGUAAGUUCCGACCCGCACGAAAGGCGUAAAGAUUUGGAUACUGUCGCGGAGAGGGGCUCGGUGAAAUAGACUUGUCUGUGAAGAUGCGGACUACCUGCACCAGGACAGAAAGACCCUAUGAAGCUUACUGUAACCUGAAAUUGAAAUUGGACUUUACUUGCGCAGUAUAGGUGGGAGGCGUUGAGAAUAUUCUUGCGGGAUUAUUGGAGCCAUCAGUGAGAUACCACUCUUGUAAUGUUAGAUUUCUAACUUUGUAUCAUUAUCUGGUCAAAGAACAGUUUCAGGCGGGCAGUUUGACUGGGGCGGUCGCCUCCUAAACGGUAACGGAGGCGCACAAAGGUUUCCUCUGAACGGGUAGAAAUCGUAUCUGGAGUGUAAAGGCAUAAGGAAGCUUGACUGUGAGACCUACAAGUCGAGCAGGGACGAAAGUCGGUCUUAGUGAUCUGACGGUGCUGAGUGGAAAGGCCGUCACUCAACGGAUAAAAGUUACUCUAGGAUAACAGGCUGAUCUCCCCCAAGAGUUCACAUCGACGGGGAGGUUUGGCACCUCGAUGUCGGCUCAUCGCAUCCUGGGGCGGUAGUACGUCCCAAGGGUUGGGCUGUUCGCCCAUGAAAGCGGUACGCGAGCUGGGUUCAGAACGUCGUGAGACAGUUCGGUCCAUAUCCGGUGUAGGCGUUAGAAUAUUGAGAGGAGCCUUCUUUAGUACGAGAGGACCGAGAAGGACAUACCUCUGGUGUACCAGUUAUCGUGCCAACGGUAAACGCUGGGUAGCUAUGUGUGGAGUGGAUAACCGCUGAAAGCAUCUAAGUGGGAAGCCCACCUCAAGAUAAGUA